rnacentral:rRNA from 1 species
UACGAAGGGGGCUAGCGUUGUUCGGAAUUACUGGGCGUAAAGCGCACGUAGGCGGAUUAGAAAGUUGGAGGUGAAAUCCCAGGGCUCAACCUUGGAACUGCCUUCAAAACUUCUAGUCUUGAGUUCGAGAGAGGUGAGUGGAAUUCCGAGUGUAGAGGUGAAAUUCGUAGAUACUCGGAGGAACACCAGUGGCGAAGGCGGCUCACUGGCACGAUACUGACGCUGAGGUGCGAAAGCGUGGGGAGCAAACAGG